rnacentral:rRNA from 1 species
CCUUGCCAGCCCGCUCAGAAACUCAAAGGAAUUGACGGGGCCGCACAAGCGGUGGAGUAUGUGGUUUAAUUCGAUGCAACGCGAAGAACCUUACCUGGUCUUGACAUCCCGGAGACCCUUAGGAAACUAGGGGGUGCUUCCAUCUGGAAGAAUCUGGAGACAGGUGCUGCAUGGCUGUCGUCAGCUCGUGUCGUGAGAUGUUGGGUUAAGUCCCGCAACGAGCGCAACCCUUGCCUUUAGUUGCCAGCAGUUCGGCUGGGCACUCUAAAGGGACUGCCGGUGUUAAACCGGAGGAAGGUGGGGAUGACGUCAAGUCCUCAUGGCCUUUAUGACCAGGGCUACACACGUACUACAAUGGCCGAUACAAAGGGCAGCGACACUGCGAGGUGAAGCCAAUCCCGUAAAAUCGGUCUCAGUCCGGAUUGGAGUCUGCAACUCGACUCCAUGAAGUUGGAAUCGCUAGUAAUCGUGGAUCAGCAUGCCACGGUGAAUACGUUCCCGGGCCUU